rnacentral:tRNA from 1 species
UGUCCUAUGGCUCAACGGCAAGAGCGCCGGUUUCACACACCGGAGAUGGCGGUUCGAUUCCGUCUAGGACAACCA